rnacentral:rRNA from 1 species
AUUGAACGCUGGCGGCAGGCUUAACACAUGCAAGUCGAGCGGGGUGAUGGUGCUUGCACUAUCACUUAGCGGCGGACGGGUGAGUAAUGCUAGGAAUCUGCCUAUUAGUGGGGGACAACAUCUCGAAAGGGAUGCUAAUACCGCAUACGUCCUACGGGAGAAAGCAGGGGAUCACUUGUGACCUUGCGCUAAUAGAUGAGCCUAAGUCGGAUUAGCUAGUUGGUGGGGUAAAGGCCUACCAAGGCGACGAUCUGUAGCGGGUCUGAGAGGAUGAUACGCCAGACUGGGACUGAGACACGGCCCAGACUCCUACGGGAGGCAGCAGUGGGGAAUAUUGGACAAUGGGGGGAACCCUGAUCCAGCCAUGCCGCGUGUGUGAAGAAGGCCUUAUGGUUGUAAAGCACUUUAAGCGAGGAGGAGGCUCUUUUGGUUAAUACCCAAGAUGAGUGGACGUUACUCGCAGAAUAAGCACCGGCUAACUCUGUGCCAGCCGCCGCCGUAA